rnacentral:rRNA from 1 species
CGCGGCCUAUCAGCUUGUUGGUGGGGUAACGGCCUACCAAGGCGAUUACGGGUAGCCGGCCUGAGAGGGCGACCGGCCACACUGGGACUGAGACACGGCCCAGACUCCUGCGGGAGGCAGCAGUGGGGAAUAUUGCGCAAUGGGCGAAAGCCUGACGCAGCGACGCCGCGUGGGGGAUGACGGCCUUCGGGUUGUAAACCUCUUUUACCACCAACGCAGGCUCCCGGUUCUCCGGGGGUUGACGGUAGGUGGGGAAUAAGGACCGGCUAACUACGUGCCAGCAGCCGCGGUAAUACGUAGGGUCCGAGCGUUGUCCGGAAUUAUUGGGCGUAAAGAGCUCGUAGGCGGCGUGUCGCGUCUGCUGUGAAAGACCGGGGCUUAACCCCGGUUCUGCAGUGGAUACGGGCAUGCUAGAGGUAGGUAGGGGAGACUGGAAUUCCUGGUGUAGCGGUGAAAUGCGCAGAUAUCAGGAGGAACACCGGUGGCGAAGGCGGGUCUCUGGGCCUUACCUGACGCUGAGGAGCGAAAGCAUGGGGAGCGAACAGGAUUAGAUACCCUGGUAGUCCAUGCCGUAAACGUUGGGCGCUAGGUGUGGGGACUUUCCACGGUUUCCGCGCCGUAGCUAACGCAUUAAGCGCCCCGCCUGGGGAGUACGG